AUUGCACAAUGGUCGCAAGCCUGCUGCAGCGACGCCGCGUGUGGGAUGAAGGGGCUACGCCUCGUAAACCACUGUAGCCCGGGACGAAAAACGCCUUAGAGGCGUUAGACGGUACCGGGAAAGUAAGGGUCGGCUAACUGCGUGCCAGCAGCCGCGGUAAUACGUAGGACCCAAGCGUUGUCCGGCUUUACUGGGUGGAAAGGGUGCUCAGGCGGAUGGGUAAGUCAGGGGUGAAAGUCUGCAGCUUAACUGUAGAAUUGCCUCUGAUACUGCUCAUCUUGAGUGUGGGAGA
rnacentral:rRNA from 1 species